rnacentral:rRNA from 1 species
UACAGAGGUGGCGAGCGUUGUCCGGAUUUACUGGGCGUAAAGCGCUUGUAGGCGGCUUCGUAAGUUGGGCGUGAAAGCUCCGGGCUUAACCCGGAGAGGCCGUCCAAUACUGCGGAGCUCGAGGGUGCCAGAGGAAGGUGGAAUUCCUGGUGUAGCGGUGAAAUGCGUAGAUAUCAGGAGGAACACCCGUGGCGAAGGCGGCUUUCUGGGGCAUUCCUGACGAUGAGAAGCGAAAGCUAGGGGAGCAAACAGG